UGGGGAAUAUUGGACAAUGGGCGCAAGCCUGAUCCAGCAAUGCCGCGUGGGUGAAGAAGGUCUUAGGAUUGUAAAUCCCUUUCGGCGGGGACGAUAAUGACGGUACCCGCAGAAGAAGCCCCGGCUAACUUCGUGCCAGCAGCCGCGGUAAUACGAAGGGGGCUAGCGUUGCUCGGAAUUACUGGGCGUAAAGGGCGCGUAGGCUGACAGUUCAGUCGGGGGUGAAAGCCCGGGGCUCAACCUCGGAAUUGCCUUCGAUACUGGCUGUCUUGAGUAUGAGAGAGGUGUGUGGAACUCCGAGUGUAGAGGUGAAAUUCGUAGAUAUUCGGAAGAACACCAGUGGCGAAGGCGACACACUGGCUCAUUACUGACGCUGAGGCGCGAAAGCGUGGGGAGCAAACA
rnacentral:rRNA from 1 species